rnacentral:tRNA from 1 species
GGGCCCGUAGCUCAGGGGUAGAGCAUGUGACUUUUAAUCACAGGGUCGAUGGUUCGAAUCCAUCCGGGCUCACCA